rnacentral:misc_RNA from 1 species
UAUCAAAACUUUCAACAACGGAUCUCUUGGUUCUCGCAUCGAUGAAGAACGCAGCGAAUUGCGAUACGUAGUAUGACUUGCAGACGUGAAUCAUCGAAUCUUUGAACGCACAUUGCGCCUCGAGGCAUUCCUCGAGGCAUGCCUGUUUGAGCGUCGCAUCCCCUCUAACCCCCGGUUAGGCGUUGCUCCGAAAUAUCAACCGCGCUGUCAAACACGUUUACAGCACGACAUUUCGCCCUCAAAUCAGGUAGGACUACCCGCUGAACUUAAGCAUAUCAAUAAGCGGAGGAA